CCCAAGUCUAGUGGUAUAGCCUCCCUCCAUAUAAUAACGCAAAGAGAAGAGACACCUCUCUGGCGGUUACAAUCCAUCUAAAUGUCAUCUGCGGAUAUUCCAGUUGUUUUAAAGUGACAAGAAGCAAUAGAACUUCAAAUAACAAAAGCCUGUGCGACUUCCUUUUGCAAGUGAAAAGAGGUGACGUUGAGCAUAGAAUGGCACGCAUCAGCCUAGUUCAGCCGCAGCAUAGCUACCGUGGGAACCGGACGGCUGCGAUUGUAAGUUGUUGUCGCGCCUUGCUGGCCUGGAAACCACACAAGACGGAGGCUCCCCCAGCCAUACAGAGAUCACAUUUUUCGGGCAAAUUGCCAAGCAACAGUUUCAAGUUUUAAUGUCACAUGCACAAAGGUCCUAGAUGGCAGGGAGCUCGGUCCCAGUGAUGUACUGGUUUGUCCACACAACCCUCUUUAGCGCCAAGUGAUCAAGGGCGGUGCUGGUGUCAUACCAAGCAGUGAAGCAGCCAGUCAACAUGCUCUCAAUGGUACAGCUGUAGAACCUUUUCAGGAUUUUAGGUCCCAUGCCAAACUUUUUCAACCUCCUGAAGGGGAAGAGCCACUGUGAAGCCUUCUUCACGACUGUUUGUUUGUAUUUGGACCAUUUUAAGUCUUUAGUGAUUUGGACACCGAGGAACUUGAAACUGUCUACCUGCUCCACUGCCGUCCCAUCGAUGUGGAUAGGGGUGUGUUCGCCCCCCUGUUUCCUGUAGUCCACGAUCUGCUACUUGGUCUUGCUGACGUUGAGGGAGAGGUUGUUGCUGCAGCACCACACUGCCAGGUCACUGACCUCCUCCCUGUAGGCUGACUCAUCGUCGCCGGCUAUCAGGCCUACCACCGUUGUGUUGUCAGAGAACUUGAUGAUGGUGUUGGAGUCAUACGUGGCCACGCAGUCGUGGGUAAACAGGGAGAACAGGAGGGGACUAAGCACACACCCCUGUGGGGCCCCUGUGUUAAGGGUCAGCGUGGCAGAUGUGAUGUUGCCCACCCUCACCACCUGGGGUGGCCCAUCUGGAAGUCCAGGAUCCAGUUGCAGAGGGAGGUGUUCAGACCCCUUGACUUUUUCCACAUUUUGUUAAGUUACAGCCUUAUUCUAAAAUGUAUUAAAUAAUUGUUUUCCCUCAUCAAUCUACACACAAUACCCCAUAAUGACAAAGCGAAAACAGGUUUUUAGAAUUUUUUGCACAUUUUUAAGAAAUAAAAAAACAGAAAUACCUUACAUAAGUAUUCAGACCCUUUGCUAUGAGACUCAACAUUGAGCUCAGGUGCAUCCUGUUUUCAUUGAUCAUCCUUGAGAUGUUUCUACAACUUGGAGUCCACCUGUGGUAAAUUCAAUUGAUUAGACAUGAUUUGGAAAGGCACACACCUGUCUAUAUAAGGUCCCACAGUUGACAGUGCAUGUCAGAGCAAAAACCAAGCCAUGAUGUCAAAGGAAUUGUCCGUAGAGCUCUGAGACAGGAUUGUGUCGAGGCCAAGAUCUGGGGAAGGGUACCAAAACAUUUCUGCAGCAUU
rnacentral:lncRNA from 1 species